rnacentral:rRNA from 1 species
AUUGAACGCUGGCGGCGUGCUUAACACAUGCAAGUCGUGCGGUAACAGGCGUAGCAAUACGUGCUGACGAGCGGCGAACGGGUGCGUAAUACAUGGGAAUCUGCCCUUUAGUGGGGAAUAACCCGGCGAAAGCCGGGCUAAUGCCGCAUAAGAUCUUCGGAUGAAAGCGGGGGAUCGUAAGACCUCGCGCUGAUGGAUGAGCCCAUGCCGGAUUAGCUAGUUGGUGAGGUAACGGCUCACCAAGGCGACGAUCCGUAGCUGGUCUGAGAGGACGGCCAGCCACACUGGGACUGAGACACGGCCCAGACUCCUACGGGAGGCAGCAGUGGGGAAUAUUGGACAAUGGGGAAACCCUGAUCCAGCGACGCCGCGUGUGUGAAGAAGGCCUGC